UUGAACGCUGGCGGCCUGCCUUACACAUGCAAGUCGAACGGCAGCACGGGUGCUUGCACCUGGUGGCGAGUGGCGAACGGGUGAGUAAUACAUCGGAACAUGUCCUGUAGUGGGGGAUAGCCCGGCGAAAGCCGGAUUAAUACCGCAUACGAUCUACGGAUGAAAGCGGGGGACCUUCGGGCCUCGCGCUAUAGGGUUGGCCGAUGGCUGAUUAGCUAGUUGGUGGGGUAAAGGCCUACCAAGGCGACGAUCAGUAGCUGGUCUGAGAGGACGACCAGCCACACUGGGACUGAGACACGGCCCAGACUCCUACGGGAGGCAGCAGUGGGGAAUUUUGGACAAUGGGCGAAAGCCUGAUCCAGCAAUGCCGCGUGUGUGAAGAAGGCCUUCGGGUUGUAAAGCACUUUUGUCCGGAAAGAAAUCCUUGGCCCUAAUACGGUCGGGGGAUGACGGUACCGGAAGAAUAAGCACCGGCUAACUACGU
rnacentral:rRNA from 1 species